GGGCUAACAGUUCCCUCCCUCCCGGGCACCGAGGCACAGUCACAUGCUGCUCACAAGGUAUGCAAGGUUCCUCUGUCCUCCGUCAGCGUCACUUUGCACAGGGCAAGCCUUUCUUUCCAGACUCAAUUCCACUAGCCCUGUUUCUGUGACACCCUAGUUACCCCAGGCGGUUACCAACUCUCUCCACUUUUUAAUUUACUUGUAUCCAUUCUGAGUGGUGCUUCGUGAGCUCCUUCAAGGGCAAAGAUCUUACCAUGAGUGAGACCUCCUACGCAACAGUUCUCAGCCAGAUCUUUGCCACUGUUUCGUGAUUCUUCCUGCCCCUUCUAAUAAGACUGUGUGUGUUCAUGACACAUGCAUGUUCACAGGCCACUCUAAGAAAUCCAGAAUGUUCAUCUUCUACCUGAGGAACCAGGAUCUGGACUCCUUGCUCUAAUAGGAGCGAUCAUGAUGCUUUCAGAUAAAUUCACACUGAAUUCUUACAAGCUUCUGUCCAGGGGAAAGCUGGCGGUGAGUGCUUGCUCUUUCCUCUUCAAUGAACCUGCUUUUCCAUCUUGGAAGAGGAUGAAAUGCACCUCUCAGAAUGCAAGUUUCCCUGCGGACACUAUCCCCAGUGGUGGAGUGAUGGAGAGAACUGAGAUGAGGUCAGGGAACAACUGAACUAAAAACUCACGAAAUGGAAGCUUUGGUGACUGGACCUCCAAAGAAAAGGCUUUAAUGACUUUAGAAAAUGGAGAAACAAACUCAGUGACAUGAAGUGACUCCAAAAACUUCCAGAAGGAGGGGAACGUAGCCUCGUAAUUGAGUACUUGCCUAGCAUGCAAGUUUCUAGGCUCAGUCCCCAGCAUGAUGGAGCAGGUUUGGAAGGAAUUUUCACAAGUCACAGAGGCCCUUGGAAAUGUGUUUCCUGGUGGGAAACACAAAGCUGUGAGACAUGAGAUGUUCUCACUCUGGGUGCGAGUGGAAGGUCCAAGGGGAGGAAAUACCCCUCGCACCCCCACAAAAGUGUUUCAAGAGCCAAGUGGAAGGAUGCAGAGGCACAGCAUAGGGCUUCACUAGUAACAAUGUGAAGGAGUGUGCCACCACAUCUCUCUACUAGAGGUUUUCUGCCACCCAGUGAAUCUUUUUUUCACUGAGGAACCAUCAACUUUGACAAGGCACUUCUGAGCACAAGGAACAAGAGAGAGACAUGGUCUGGAAGGUCAAGGUUGGGCUGGAUCCAUGACAAGUUCACUUGACUCAUUCUGAAUUUCAGCAGGAGGGAGGUAUCAAAAUUAAAGAUAAGAUUGGACAACAACAGAAAAUUAAAUAUUGUGGCUGAGAAAAUAAUGGAUAAUCAGGAAAUCUAAGUCCAGCAAAUUCUCACACUUUAACAGAAAGAUUUUCAGUUCCUGAGAAAGAAACAAAUCUGACUACUGGAAAGACCUUCAGGGUGGGAAACUGUGCUGAGAAAGGUCUCAAAAUUUUUCACCAUUGCUCUCUGCUUGGACAUAGCCAGUUAGUGUUGCUCACAUCUCAAUAGACUUGUAAAUGCCAAAAUAACAGCGCCUCACCCGAGGAAUCCUUCUGACUUAGGUGGCUAUCCUGUCUUCAAUGCUGGCUGGACUGGAGAAUUCCCAGAAUGCUCUUGGACAUUGGAGUACUUCCUGCAGAUGGGAGGAGGUGGUCUGCCUGGGAGAAGCAAGUCACCUGGGUCACAUGGCACUUGACCUUCAAGACUAAACGAGAAGGAACGCCUGGUAGGAUGGGUGCUGUUUUUACGAAGUCCAGGAGGUCAAGCAAUGAGCCAUUGGGGUGAAUCACCGAACAGAACACUAAAGGGAGACUUUUGUUCCAAUCAUGAGUUUAGAGGAGAGUCUUAAAAUGGUAAGGACAAGUAAAUAUGGGGCAAGAAGCAUAACCGAGCCAAGAAAUGCUGGAGCAGAUGACAACUGAACAGUAGAAACCAGGCAGAGGCCAGCCCUACAGGGCCAGGGAGGAAAGAAACAGCAGACUGGAGAAAACAAUAAAAAGGGAGAAAAAGAAAUAUGGAGAUGGGGAGGAUGAAAUGGAAAAUAAAAAC
ensembl:lncRNA